AUGUGGACAUCUCUCCUGUGUCUUCUUCUGGCUGGUGCAGUAUCUGCAGCACCACUUUCACCGUUUUUCAAUUAUCUCCCUCAUUAUGGCAACCCGAAGCAGGGGAAUAAUGGUGGCUUCCAGGGAAUACCAGCACAGCCACAUCCUGGUCUGAACACUCCAAUCAGCAUGGAAAUCAUUUUCCCUCCGCGAUUCCCUGCUACUCCAGGAGGAGCAGCUGGCACAUCG